ACAACCAAGUUUUUAGGUAUGUUAUUGACCAGGAGGUCCUGUUUAAUGACCUUAUUGAAUGUUCUUCUAAGCCUUCCUCUACCUUUUUUCCACCAAACUAGAUUAAAAAAAGAAAAAUGUAUACUAUCCCAUAGUUUGGCUUUGUCUGAUUAGUAAGCUUCAAGUUUUCCUAUACAUGUUAAUUAUUGUAGAUGGCCAGUCUUGCAGCAUAUUUUGGUCUUGGUCAACAGAAACACAGGAGCUUAGAUGAUGUUCGAAUGAAUCUCGAAGUGAUCAAAGACUGUGCAACUGUUAUGUUCUUGGAAUCAUGUCUUCCAGACGUAUUCAUAGUGGAUAGUUUGGCUUCUCCAAAAGUUGCUGCAAGAAGUUGCCGUGUGGGAAAA